UCUAAACCUGCAACUUCACAUCAACUUUUACCAUUUUCAAGAGCUUCCAAGCCAGGAAUGUUAGAGCUGGAAGGAACAUGAUAAAAAGAAGGAAAGUGAAAGUGAACAGUUUACACAGCCAGCAGCACAGUAACCGGCAAGGGGCAAACAAACCCAUAGAUGCUUCCUGAAUGAAACAAAUGAGAUACAGGGAAAAGAUUAAAACCAAGAACCUCUGACUUCCAGACCACUUGACUCUGCUGCCUGACCCUCUUCUUAAAUCCAUGCUGCCUGAGUAAACGUCCAGGCUCCACAUAUUUAGACCACAUCGGGAAACUAGACUUCAUACUGAGACUUACGUUCCCACAUAUAUGGAUUGUGGGCAAUCAGAAGCUCAAAGUGGAAGCUCUGAAGAUGGGAUCCUUUCUGAGGAGAGACUCACAUUAGUGGCCACUGGACCAGUGGGAGGAAGAGCUUAUGGGAAGAGACUUCUUUGGCUCAUCUCAUGUUACAUCUUGGAGUGACCUCAAAGGCCCCAUCCCAGAAGGCACAGCCACAAAAAACGUGGCCUCCACCAGCAUGGAUCCCUGAAUGUAAUGGGAUCAGAGCCUCCUGCCCACACCUGCCCUGGCUUAUCUAAUCCUUAGAAGAUGAAGUUCAAGCUCAAGUUCUUGUUCCUCUCCAGCCUCACUGCAUGAUGGGAAACACUCAGGUAUCAACAAGCUCACCCCUGAAAUGCAUCCUAAGCCAUUGGGGCCAAUUAGACCCACAAACCCUGAAAAAGAAGCAGCUUACUUUUUUCUGCACUACAGCCUGGCCUGAAUAUUCUCUCUCUGAAGGGGAAAAAUGGCCACCUGAGGGAAGUAUAAAUUACAAUACUAUCCUGCAGCUUGAUGUUUGCUGUAAGAGGGAAG
rnacentral:lncRNA from 10 species